UGCCAGGCGAGGCGCUAGAGGGUCUCCUCUCCUAGCGCCUAUGACGCCUUUAACAACACUGGCUGUAAAGUAGCCAAAUGUUCAAAAGGGCUAUCAAUCAUCUCUCCACCAUAAUGUUGAAACAAUUCUAACGUUAAUUGAGCCCAAGUUAGCUACAAGUUGCACUGACGAAUCUAACGGAGCAAUGCAAAGGAGGACCCUUUAUACUGACCAUGGCUAAUGCGACCUUAAGGUCAUCACGAGUAGCAUGGAUAUCAAAAUAUUGUUCCGCCUUGGCUAUCCAACCAGAUCAGAACCUCAAAAGUGGGAUCCACCUUCCUAGCCGUUAAAACAAAGUCAUCGAUAGCUAAUGGCUGAGAAUCAAGGUAGAGUUAAGAAGGGGUUGUUGUGGGCAACGGUGGAGGAGAAGGAUUAGAAGGAGCCCCUUCUUCCAUGUUAAUUUUCCCUUGCAUGAAGUUAAAAGAGAAUUUAGGUUUUGGGGUUUAGGGUUUAGGUUUUAGGGUUUCCUUCUUUCUUCAAUGCAUGGAUGUUCUUCUUUACUUGAUCCAUUCGAGAUUCCAUUCUGGUUUUUGUCAUGAGCUAGACCAGCAGGUCGAACCAAUAUAGCACAGUAAAGAGCUAUUAUAGAAAAGAAUGAUUGAUAAAGAAUGAACAACAGAGAAUGAGAGGAGUGAUGUUAACUGAUUCAAAAUGUGGAUACAACCAAACAAUACAAUACCCACACCAAUAACUAACCCUCAGUUCCUAGGGAAAAUUCCCUAUGAAGAGAAACCCCGCCCACCAAAUUAGGAUUACAAAACUGAAUACCCAAUAUCCUCUCUCAACGCUCUUUUAUACCCUUCCUCUCUUACUCUAAUUGGCCUUCACACGCCCUCAGCACCACCUUUCUCUUCAUUUCCUUUACUGCCUGGAAUAAACUUGAAAAGUCCUCUGACCCUACUGUUGUGGUUGAGCCUUGUCCCUAACAACAUAUAAAGUUGAUGCCGGAGCAUCCAAAUUAAAUUAGGAUUCAGUGUUUUUCGUUUUUCAAUUUUCCUUCUUUAUGGAAGAUUUCUAUUUAGUUUUCCUUCUUCAUUUAGGAUUCUUAUUUAUUCUACUUCAUUAAUUAAGAAUACUUUGCCAUCUAG
rnacentral:misc_RNA from 1 species